UGGCUACUUCGGCUCCUCCUGCGUCCCCAGCCUGCCUGCCUGCCGUAGUCAUGUGAGCCAAUUUCUCCAAGUUGAAUUGAGAUAAAAACUGAAGACCCCAAACCAAUCUUGGAUUCUGUGGCUAAGCAGUUGGGGACGACGGUGCCCCCGUGCCCGGGGCAGGCAUCCUGCGCUCUCACAGCCCUGGCCAGUGGCACCGGCAGUGCCCCUCCGGCCACACCCCGGCCAGGUUUUCUAAGGCUGGACAAACACAGGGGCCCCCACUGGUGGGUGCGGCAGACUGACUGGGGUCAGAGGUAUGGGGAGAACACGCGGAGAUCCACCCAAGAAGGGGAGCGAUUGUGCCACAGUCGAGGGGGCCACGGCGAUGGUGUGGUCACACGGCCUCGGUCACCCUCCAGAGGACCCUCCACAUCCUGAACUCUCCAGAAUCUCAGGAGCCUCACCCAGACUCAGAGCGAGGUGCAGGACAGAGCCCUGGACUGGAGCUGGGGGGUCCCUGCCCUACGACCCUGGAGCUCCUGAUCCUGUGCA
rnacentral:lncRNA from 1 species